rnacentral:rRNA from 1 species
UUACAGAGUUGCAAAACUCCCACAAACCAUCGCGAAUCUUACCCGUACGGUUGCCUCGGCGCUGGCGGUCCGGAAAGGCCCUCGGGCCCUCCCGGAUCCUCGGGUCUCCCGCUCGCGGGAGGCUGCCCGCCGGAGUGCCGAAACUAAACUCUUGAUAUUUUAUGUCUCUCUGAGUAAACUUUUAAAUAAGUCAAAACUUUCAACAACGGAUCUCUUGGUUCUGGCAUCGAUGAAGAACGCAGCGAAAUGCGAUAAGUAAUGUGAAUUGCAGAAUUCAGUGAAUCAUCGAAUCUUUGAACGCACAUUGCGCUCGCCAGUAUUCUGGCGAGCAUGCCUGUUCGAGCGUCAUUUCAACCAUCAAGCUCUGCUUGCGUUGGGGAUCCGCGGCUGUCCGCGGUCCCUCAAAAUCAGUGGCGGGCUCGCUAGUCACACCGAGCGUAGUAACUCUACAUCGCUAUGGUCGUGCGGCGGGUUCUUGCCGUAAAACCCCCCAUUUCUAAGGUUGACCUCGGAUCAGGUAGGAAUACCCGCUGAACUUAAGCAUAUCAAUAAGCGGAGGAAAAGAAAC